ACGCACGCUGGCGGCGUGCUUAACACCUGCAAGUCGCACGGAAAGGCUCCAGCUUGCUGGAGUACUCGAGUGGCGAACGGGUGAGUAACACGUGGGUAAUCUGCCCUGCACUCUGGGAUAAGCCUGGGAAACUGGGUCUAAUACUGGAUAUGACCUUUCUCCUUAUGGGGUUUGGUGGAAAGUUUUUCGGUGUAGGAUGAGCCCGCGGCCUAUCAGCUUGUUGGUGGGGUGAUGGCCUACCAAGGCGACGACGGGUAGCCGGCCUGAGAGGGUGAUCGGCCACAUUGGGACUGAGAUACGGCCCAGACUCCUACGGGAGGCAGCAGUGGGGAAUAUUGCACAAUGGGCGGAAGCCUGAUGCAGCGACGCCGCGUGAGGGAUGACGGCCUUCGGGUUGUAAACCUCUUUCAGCAGGGACGAAGCGUAAGUGACGGUACCUGCAGAAGAAGCACCGGCUAACUACGUG
rnacentral:rRNA from 1 species